AGGAAAUUCUAAAAGGUAUAUAUGUGUCACAUUGGAGAUGAUGCCAUCAAUCAAAGGAGAAAGCACUGGUGUCAGUGACCCUCCUAAAGCAACAGAGACUGCCCCCCCAUGAACCCUCUUGCUGUGCUCCUGGCUGCUUCCGCAGAGGGUCAGGUGUCAGAGCUAAACUCCCAAGGGUGGCCAUCAGCUGUGCAGCUUAACUGACAGGAGUGAACUAAUGACCCAGGUGGCGCAAGUAAAGUCUGGAGCAUGCAACCCAGACUUUACAGCACCGCCCCCCCAAACUUCCAGGGAGGAAGUUUACACGUAUACAAGAACCACAAUUCAAGGAAAAGAGGAAUUAAAGUAGAUCUAAAGUAGAAUUAAAGUAGAAACCCAACUCAAAAUCCUGCCCAGCUAGUCCGUCUUUAUUCAGUGUGCUUGUUUAGUUUAAUUGAACGGGAGAUUGUAAAAGGCGAUUUAUUCCCCAAAGCGGGUCAGACCUGUUGUUGCUUCCUGACUCUCCUGAAGCAAACCUACUGGUGGGAAAGAUUUUUCCUAAGGAUUCUCUGCAAAACAAAGUGCUCUAAACUACAUAUUAAUGGAGAUCGUUAUUUCCAAGCUAGAGAGGUAGAGAAGCUGGACUACAUAUGUGAUCAUCUGACUUUCCAUUUGCACACCAAGGUGCUUGCUCAGAGCAUCGGAAGAACAUGAAACCCAAGUCAGCUGGGAUUGCAGAACCACCUAGAACACGUGGAAAAGUCUGAACCGAUGUGGCAGCGUGGUGGCCUGCCGGAAAACCCCAGCGGCAGCCAGACCAGUGUGGGCAGCUGCAGUCAGAAAAUGAGACGGUUCUUUCUGAGCAAGUAUGAAGUGUCAUAAAUAGCACAGGCUGAUGCAAAUGGCCACAGCUGCACAGCGAGGGAUGGAGUGUGUGCUGGGCACAGGACAUGUUGGCGCCCACCCAAUUCUUCUCAGCUAUGGGCUCAGCUCAGGGAGGGGGGUUGUCACCCAGCGCCAGACAACCUACUGACGGGGUGCAGGACUGCCACCAAGGUCCAAAGGCUUCAUAAGGCUGCCCCUAAGGAGUUUGCCUUGAAGAGGCCGCACUUCCAAUACUCCCUGGCUGUGAAAGCUCCUAAGCACCGAGCCAGUUUAAAAAAAAAAAAUUAAAGUUAAAUUGAGAAAUGACCGAUAUAUAAAGUGGUCACGUAAUGAAUGUACAGCACCUUUAAUGUAGGAAUUUUUUUUUUAAAGUUUUCUUUAUUUGAGAGAGAGAGCAUGAGCAGGGGGAAGUGAGGCAGG
rnacentral:lncRNA from 12 species